rnacentral:miRNA from 1 species
CCCCAGAUGUUGCUGAACUACAACUCCCAUGAUUCCCUUGCUGUUUCAUUGAAAUAAUCAUGGGAGUUGUAGUUCAGCAACAUCUGGGG